AUCGCUUCUUGGCCUUUUGGCUAAGACCAAGUGUAGUAUAUAAUAGUGUAGUAUAGUUUGGGGGUAAUGAACAUUUCAGACUUUUCUAUAAAAUCUGUUUAGCAAGUGGAACUCAUCUAAAGAGUUCCUGUUUAGAGUUU
rnacentral:snRNA from 1 species